GUUCACACAGCAGCCUCCAACACCGCACCACUUCUGCAGUAUGAUACAGCAGGAGACAGAAAAAUAAAGAAAGGAAGGAAGAAAUAAAAGAUAACUCAACUCCUUACUCCCAAAUGAAGAUUAGAUCAGAGGCACCCUGCAAGUUUUUCCUGCACCCACAGCAACCUUAACCAGGAAGAGCAGAUAAGAGGGUGGGUGAAUGUACGAACAAAUUAUCACAGAGUACCAAGCUCCAGGAAGGUGACCAGGUCCAGAGACAAGUGGCCCAAUAUGUGGCGCUGAUGGCAGGCCUGGCCUACACGCAUGCAGAUAGAGUGGAGGGUGUGUUGGCAGAUGGAGGUUUGAGGCAUGGAGCAGCCUACCACCUGCAUAGAGCCAGGUUCAUGCAGCUGGUCUCCACAUGACAGCAUGUGCACUUCUCCUCCUGGCUCCACCAGAAGAUCCACAGUGAGACAUGUUACACUGUCCGAGGGAGGAUAGGCCUCGACUGUGCCACCUACAGAUAGAGAAUAUUGGUGGUAACAGUGGAGGACCUUCAGCGUUUUUUGCAGUGCCCCUCACAGGAAAGUGCUCAUAGGCCUCUGGUGUGAGGAUGGUGAAACGUUUGGCACUGCUAGCUGGAACAGCCGAGAGGUCUCCUGUCUCCACAGCCCCCUGUAGACCCAGCAGCUGAGUG